AUACGUUUCUCUAGACAAUUUAUUAGCAGUUCACAGCAAGAUUUUCAUCUUUGUUACAUUGCAGUCCAACCAACAUAGAGUAGAAGAGGUUGAAUUCGACAAGAUUGUCGAAAAGGAAUUACAGCCACCCAACCCACCCAAGCGCAAGAAAAAGAAGAUGUCCUUUGCAGUCUGGUGGGAGCUGUACGCACCUGAGGAGCAAAAAAUGUCUGCUGAAAAUAUCAAACAGCAGGACGCUUCACUGGUGGUCAAAAAUGAAUCAAUUGCAAAAUCACAGGAGACAGUGGAUCAUAUAGGGGACAGACCAACACCCGAGAAUGACUCCAAUGUGAACCAGGUACCAUUUCAAACCUGGUCAGAGGAACACGUCCUGGUUGAGCAAGAGAUUUCUGCAAGAAAUAUUGAAAUGCAGAACGAUUCACUGAUCAGUGAAGAAGUGUCCAUCGCUAGAGUGGAGGAGACAACCGAUAUAGAAGGAACAGCCAACAAAGACCAGGCGCAAGAAGAAGAAGAUACCGUUUCACAUCUGUUUGGAGAAACAUGCCCCUGCUGAUCUAAGUACUGGAACGAAAGAUGCUUCACCAGUUACCGAAAAAGCAUCGAGCUCCGUACUGCAGGAGACAGAGAAGGAACAGUCUUUUAAGCCUUGUGCUGAACAUGUUAAUACGCAGCAUACUUCUCUGCCUGACGAAUGUAAUCAGGAAGAUUAUUUGAAAAAUGAGAUUUACACAGAAGAACCUGUGACUUGUACAACACAGCUGGUCACCAAAAAGAAAUUCAUCUUGAGAUCAGAGAAGAAAGUAGAUCAAAAAGGGAAGAAACAUUCAUCAAAGAACAAGCGCAUCAAAAAGACGCCGCUAUUAUGGAAAUCUUUCCCCGAAUCAGACGCUUGUGUAGAUCUAAUGUUUUUGACACAAAAUAGUGACGUCAAUAACAAUCCUCUGCUGGAAAAUCCAAGUUAUCAGGCAGAUUUGCCCAGCGGAGGAAAGAAGACGUUUUGGAAAGUGUUCCCUGAAUCAGAAUCUCACAUUGAACUAAAUUUCUUCGCUGAACAUAUCGAAGAGCAAGAUGAUUCAGUUCCGGCAAAAUACGGUCAACAGGUCCACUCUUGCUGGGAAUGGGAGCGCGCGGACGGAGACUCUGUGCGUGAAACUUGAUCAGUGUGAUCCCCUGCUCAUCUGUGACCCACACCUCCUCACCACUGCAAGAUUUUAAAUCCCCGUCCUUGUCCUCCGGGUGAAGACGCGUCAUCCCGGUGGAGGAACCAGCUCCAGCUGC